CAGUAGCCACGGUAAAACGGUGGGGGCUAGCGUUGUUCGGAAUUACUGGGCGUAAAGCGCACGUAGGCGGCUUGGUAAGUUAGAGGUGAAAGCCCGGAGCUCAACUCCGGAAUUGCCUUUAAGACUGCCGAGCUAGUAGGUGAGAGAGGUAAGUGGAAUUCCGAGUGUAGAGGUGAAAUUCGUAGAUAUGCGGAGGAACACCGAUGGCGAAGGCAAUCCCCUGGGCCUGUACUGACGCUCAUGCACGAAAGCGUGGGGAGCAAACAGGAUUAGAUACCCGAGUAGUCCCUGUCUCUUAUAC
rnacentral:rRNA from 1 species